rnacentral:lncRNA from 1 species
AAUUAAUUUAAGUAAUUUGGAAUAAUAUUAAACUUGUAAGAGCUUUUCAAACUGAGAUAUUUUAAGUGGUUUUGGUUUUUGAGAACUAAAAAAGAAUUUAUAUAUUGGAGAUUUUUUUUAGCAUUCUAGCAUAUUAAAUAAUAAGAUAUUGAAGACUUACAGAUCUACUUGCCUUGAAUAUCUUUUACAAAUUUAAAUUCAAUUAAUCAAUUAGCUCAAAUAUUAUUAAAAUCAAAUUAGAUUAGAAUCUUGGAAUUUGGAUUUCUUUGAUCUUGAGUAAUGUAA